rnacentral:rRNA from 1 species
UACGUAGGGUGCAAGCGUUGUCCGGAAUUAUUGGGCGUAAAGAGCUCGUAGGCGGUCUGUCACGUCAGCUGUGAAAACCUGGGGCUCAACUCCGGGCCUGCAGCCGAUACGGGCAGACUAGAGUUCGGCAGGGGAGACUGGAAUUCCUGGUGUAGCGGUGAAAUGCGCAGAUAUCAGGAGGAACACCGGUGGCGAAGGCGGGUCUCUGGGCCGAAACUGACGCUGAGGAGCGAAAGCGUGGGGAGCAAACAGG